rnacentral:rRNA from 1 species
AACGCGAAGAACCUUACCUAAGCUUGACAUCCUUUUGACCGAUGCCUAAUCGCAUUUUUCCCUUCGGGGACAGAAGUGACAGGUGGUGCAUGGUUGUCGUCAGCUCGUGUCGUGAGAUGUUGGGUUAAGUCCCGCAACGAGCGCAACCCUUGCCUUUAGUUGCCAGCAUUAAGUUGGGCACUCUAGAGGGACUGCCAGGGAUAACCUGGAGGAAGGUGGGGAUGACGUCAAAUCAUCAUGCCCCUUAUGCUUAGGGCUACACACGUGCUACAAUGGGUGGUACAGAGGGCAGCCAAGUCGUGAGGCCGAGCUAAUCCCUUAAAGCCAUUCUCAGCUCGGAUUGUAGGCUGAAACUCGCCUACAUGAAGCUGGAGUUACUAGUAAUCGCAGAUCAGAAUGCUGCGGUGAAUGCGUUCCCGGGUCUUGUACACACCG